UGAACUUCGAACGCCGGUCUUCACCCUCUGAGAUCGCUCGGAGCCACCGCGUUCGGCUCAAAUCCGAGAAGCAAAUGGACGGGACGGGACGGCCGGAUCGGCCCUCCACCGUGACCAGGCGGAGCAAUAUCUGGCCGUGCUCGCGUCGACCAGCUUCCAAGCUGGGUCUCUUCGGAUGAACUUGCAGAAAGAACUUACAGUUUCUCGAGUCUUGAAGAUACGCUUGGGGAAACCAUCCCUCAAAUUUCAAAUCUUGGACCGAGAUUUCAUGUUUUUCGUCUUGUCCGGUGGAAGAAACCCACCGCGCCGCAAAUGCAGGCUCACAGCGACCUCCCUCCUCCGUCUCCAACCCCGCUAGCCUGCCUCGACGUCGAACAGCUCCGCCAUGCCGAACCUCUUCUUCCAGGUUAAAAAGAAAAAAAGAAACGAAGUUCGAUAUUUCUGUCCGACCUCGUGACUCUUCAUCUUCUUCCGGAUGAGCAAAAAUAUGAAUUUCGAGGACGUACAGCUUUGAGAGCGUUCCGGGUCUCGAGGGAUCGUCGUGCAAGAUACAAUUAUCUAGCUUCAAAUUUCUAGCAAUCGUCUCUACAUGCCGCGGGCGGAGAUCGAGCCGCCGGACGCCGCGACGGAGCUCGAGCCCUCUGGAUCUGGGUUCUCGAGCUCGACGCCGCAGCGGAGCUGGAGGGUCGUCCAGCAUGGCCGAGAUCUCGAAAGGCCUCCAGCAUCGUCGUCGGUCGAAGAAUCGUCUUCUGGAUUUUGAAGUCUCCAAGGGAUCGAAGACUCCGUCUGGGGCUUGGUGGCGGGUGGAGACGGCGGCAACGAGGGAUGACCAGUAACAUGGAACCGAGGAAGAAGAUGAAGAGCUACAAGAAAGAAAAUAGAAGGAAAAAGGAGUGGAAAGAUUCAGGUGAUUUUGCCUACAUUGAGCUAUGCCUUUGCACUUCCUUUUUCUUUGGCAGAAGUUAAGGAAUGUUGUUAUGGACAAAUCUUUUUUUAAUGGUUAUGAUCGAAUGUUGCGUUUUGAGUUUCUGAUGAUUAAACCAAGUUGUUGAACAAGAAAUAUAUUUCA